rnacentral:rRNA from 1 species
UACAGAGGGUGCAAGCGUUGUUCGGAAUUAUUGGGCGUAAAGGGCGCGUAGGCGGUGCGGUAAGUCUGCAGUGAAAUCUCUGGGCUCAACUCAGAGUCUGCUGUGGAAACUGCCGUGCUUGAGUGUGGGAGAGGUGAGUGGAAUUCCCGGUGUAGCGGUGAAAUGCGUAGAUAUCAGGAAGAACACCCGUGGCUAAGGCGGCUCUCUAGUACGUGACUGACGCUGAGACGCGAAAGCGUGGGGAGCGAACAGG